ACUCCUACGGGAGGCAGCAGUGGGAAUAUUGCACAAUGGGCGCAAGCCUGAUGCAGCCAUGCCGCGUGUGUAGAAGCAUGGGCCUUCGGUUGAUGAAGCACUUUCAGUCGUGAGGAAGGUAGUGUAGUUAAUAGCUGCAUUAUUUGACGUUAGCGACAGAAGAAGCACCGGCUAACUCCGUGCCAGCAGCCGCGGUAAUACGGAGGGUGCGAGCGUUGUUCGGAAUCACUGGGCGUAAAGCGCGUGUAGGCGGCUUGGCAAGUCGGAUGUGAAAUCCCGAGGCUCAACCUCGGAACUGCACCCGAUACUGCCUCGCUAGAGUCUCGGAGAGGGUGGCGGAAUUUCCGGUGUAGAGGUGAAAUUCGUAGAUAUCGGAAGGAACACCAGUGGCGAAGGCGGCCACCUGGACGAUGACUGACGCUGAGACGCGAAAGCGUGGGGAGCAAACAGGAUUAGAUACCCUGGUAGGCUCU
rnacentral:rRNA from 1 species